AGAAUGAACGCUGGCGGCGUGCUUAACACAUGCAAGUCGAGCGAGGCGGAAGGGGCAACUCUUCCAGUCGAGCGGCGGACGGGUGAGUAACACGUGGGCAAUCUGCCCGAAAAUGGGGAAUACCCCAGGGAAACUUGGGAUAAUACCGCAUGUCAUCGCGAUCUCGAGAGAGGAUGCGAUCAAAGGGGGGCCGCAAGGUCUCUCGUUUUCGGAGGAGCCCGCGCCCGAUUAGCUAGUUGGCGGGUAACGGCCCACCAAGGCUUCGAUCGGUA
rnacentral:rRNA from 1 species